GUAGGUGUGUUUUUGUGUUCAAGCAGUAAGGAUAGGACUAUCGAGACAGUUGAGAGCAACGUGAACGAAACGAGAACCCCCACAAGUUAAAAACCAACUCUUCCUCUAUGUUUAGGUCACUCUCUUAACCGGUAAGUAUGUACCUCUACUUUUCCUAUUGUAUACCACUGUAUUAGUUUCGUUGCCUAUCAGAAAGAGAUCGGUUGCAUCAACCGAGGUCCGUUAAACCCUGACAGAUGUUUCCAACCAAACUGCGCCUUCUACCAUGCCAACAACAAUUUCAGAAGUUCGAGUUAUUCGUGCCGCGUAACGU
rnacentral:rRNA from 1 species